rnacentral:misc_RNA from 1 species
UGGGACUGCAAUGGGCAAGAGUCCCUCUUGGCCUCUCCACAAUGGACAAAGUCACUUCUUGCCUUAGGCAAAAACCAAAUAACAUUUUCAUCCUACUAUUAUAGUGUUAGUCCUCUCGGUUAUAAUCUAAUUAGGAAUCUAACUUAAUUUAAGAAUACCAUUAUGAUAAGAGUUAUAUCCUAUACAAGAAAUAAUAUUCCAUUCUAUAGCAUAAUCAAGUCCACACAAAUUAGAGAACACAAAUUCAACGUGAUCCCGCAUACGUUUACUCUACUAACAAAUACACUGUUAAAGGAAAAUUAAUUUAUAAGCACUAAUUAUUUUUCAGUCACUUACAAUAAAUCACUCACAAAUAUAAAACCUCACAAUUCGGUGGCCUUAAUCCAGUCAGUCCACCUCUCAAUUUUGGCUGCUGCCACUUAUAUUCUGCUCUCUUAACAGCCUUUUCUCAUCUCAAUUUAAAGGAGCACACCCUCCUUUUAUAGCCCCACGUGAUGGACAUUCAAAGUCCAAAUUGGAAACAACUUUUAUUCCUAGUCAAUUUAGUAUUUACCGAAUUCUAAGAACAAAACUUCUAUAUUUUUUAUUUUAAUUUUGUUCCUAAUUAAUUCAAUCUCCUAAUUCUAUUUUAACUUGGAUCCCAACAAACUCCAAUAUAGCAGACUAACAAUCACAGAUCACGGCAGGCAAACAUGCCAGGCAUAACAUGACAAUAUUGGAAAACUCAUUAUGCUAACUGCAAAAAUUAAAUCAUGAAAGGAAGCGAAACUAAUACAAAAAUAAA